UGAUGACAUAGCAGAACUUUGUGCUUCUUUGGUACAUACUACAGUGUUUCCACAACCUUCUAGGCCACAAUGAUGAGUCAGCAAGCUAAUAUGUAUACAAAUAGUUCACAUAUCAGCAAUCAGACCCCAUGGGACGAAGUUUUAAGUUGAUUGAAGGAAGAUUUGUAUAAAUCUUUAGAGGAAAGGUCUGGGUGUACAUUUUAAAUUAGCUUGGAGUACUUAUUGUUAGACAUAUCGUUCAUGUUUCGAUUACAUGAAAGC
rnacentral:lncRNA from 1 species